UUAUCGGGUUUAUUGGUUAACAAGGAAGUUAACUGGAUAUGGGGUAAUUCGUAUGGAAUUACCGGAUUAAUUGGCUAACAAAAGAGGUUAGCCGGAUGUUGGGUAAUUCAUAUGGAAUUACCAGAUUGACUUUGGCAACCAAGAUGGGUUAGCCAAAUUUAUUUGGUAAUUAAGAGAAUUAUCAGGUUUAUUGGUUAACAAGGAAGUUAACUGGAUAUGGGGUAAUUCGUGUGGAAUUACCGAAUUAAUUGGCUAACAAAAGAGGUUAGCCGGAUGUUGGGUAAUUCGUAUGGAAUUACCAGAUUGACUUUGGCAACCAAGAUGGGUUAGCCAAAUUUAUUUGGUAAUUAAGAGAAUUAUCAGGUUUAUUGGUUAACAAGGAAGUUAACUGGAUAUGGG
rnacentral:lncRNA from 1 species